CCUACGGGUGACAGCAGUGAGGAAUAUUGGUCAAUGGACGAGAGUCUGAACCAGCCAAGUAGCGUGAAGGAUGACUGCCCUAUGGGUUGUAAACUUCUUUUAUAUGGGAAUAAAAUGCUCCACGUGUGGGAUUUUGUAUGUACCAUAUGAAUAAGGAUCGGCUAACUCCGUGCCAGCAGCCGCGGUAAUACGGAGGAUCCGAGCGUUAUCCGGAUUUAUUGGGUUUAAAGGGAGCGUAGGUGGAUUGUUAAGUCAGUUGUGAAAGUUUGCGGCUCAACCGUAAAAUUGCAGUUGAAACUGGCAGUCUUGAGUACAGUAGAGGUGGGCGGAAUUCGUGGUGUAGCGGUGAAAUGCUUAGAUAUCACGAAGAACUCCGAUUGCGAAGGCAGUUCACUGGACUGCAACUGACACUGAGGCUCGAAAGUGUGGGUAUCAAACAGGAUUAGAUACCCUUGUAGUC
rnacentral:rRNA from 1 species